CCUACGGGCGGCAGCAGUGGGGAAUAUUGCACAAUGGGCGAAAGCCUGAUGCAGCAACGCCGCGUGAAAGAAGAAGGCUCUGGGGUCGUAAAGUUCUGUUCUGAGGGAAGAAGAAAGUGACGGUACCUCAGGAGAAAGCCACGGCUAACUACGUGCCAGCAGCCGCGGUAAUACGUCGGGGGCAAGCUUUGUCCGGAAUUAGUGGGCGUAAAGAGUACGGAGGCGGUCUGUUAAGCGCAAGGUUAAAGGCGUAGGCUCAACCAAUGUGAGCCUUGCGAACGGGCAGACUUGAGUGCAGGAGCGGACAGCGGAAUUCCUCUUGUAGCGGUGAUCUGCGUAGAUCUUAGGCGGAACACCGGUGGCGAAGGCGGCUUUCUGGACUGAAACUGACGCUGAGGUACGACAGCGUGGGGAGCAAACAGGCUUAGAUACCCUUGUAGUC
rnacentral:rRNA from 1 species